rnacentral:rRNA from 1 species
UACGUAGGGGGCAAGCGUUGUCCGGAAUCAUUGGGCGUAAAGAGCGUGUAGGCGGCCUGAUAAGUCCGCUGUGAAAGUCAAAGGCUCAACCUUUGAAAGCCGGUGGAUACUGUGAGGCUAGAGUACGGAAGAGGCGAGUGGAAUUCCUGGUGUAGCGGUGGAAUGCGCAGAUAUCAGGAGGAACACCAAUAGCGAAGGCAGCUCGCUGGGACGUUACUGACACUGAGGCGCGAAAGCGUGGGGAGCGAACAGG